GUGUCAGCAGCCGCGGUAAUACGUAGGUGGCAAGCGUUGUCCGGAUUUAUUGGGUUUAAAGGGUGCGUAGGCGGCUUAUUAAGUCAGUGGUGAAAUACUCUAGCUCAACUAGAGGGGUGCCAUUGAUACUGAUGAGCUUGAGUACAGAUGAGGUAGGCGGAAUUGACGGUGUAGCGGUGAAAUGCUUAGAUAUCGUCAAGAACACCUAUAGCGAAGGCAGCUUACUAGGCUGUAACUGACGCUGAGGCACGAAAGUGUGGGGAUCAAACAGGAUUAGAUACCCUCGUAGUCC
rnacentral:rRNA from 1 species